CCUCCUCCUCCUCCUCCUCCUCCCUGACAAGCGAAACACACCCCGAGCUGUCCCCCUGCGCUCCCAGAGUCGGGGCAGCGUUGGUAACUCCCGGAGAGGCCCUGAGGCGAAGGGGGCAGAUGGAGGCGCCUCUGAGGGGGCCCUGGCCCCGGGCUCGCACCCAGUGCCCGCCGGUGGGCCCGGGGCUGAAUCCCACAAACUUGUCCCGAGGCGCUAAGGGUGGAUCAUUCCUGAAGGGGAUGCAGGAGUAUUUGUAGGAGACAGGUUAGGUGGUCCUCGGGGUGCAGCCGAAAGCACGGUGGUCUGAUGUAGGUCUCAGUACAGCGGUGUCCACGAAAAACGUGUCAAGAAUGAUUUAAAGUGUUAGAGAUGCAUAUUCCUCUUGUGGCUGAGUCUGAAUUGUGUGCCCAUGAAGCUGAAGUGCCAAGUGAGCUGCUAAAUGUAACUGCUCUGGUUUUUUGGAGCUUCUGUUUAGUGCUAGAGAAGCUUCUGUGGGCCAGUCCUUAGCCCCAGCUGUUUGUGCUUCAACCCAUCCCAGAACAUGAUUCUAUCUUAUUUUGUAUGCCAACUGAAUAUCACCGGAUGAGACAAAAAUGAACAGGAAGGAGAAUAAAGUGAGAACUGUAAAGGACUGCUGCCUCAGAACUGCUGUUGCCAUAGAGCUGCUAACAAGGAAAAAAACUGCAGCAUGGAUUUCUUGUGCUGUUGAAGGUAAGAUGAGGGCACAGCAAAGACUGUAGGAGGGGGAGGGGAGGCGAGGCAGAGGGAGGGAGAAGAGGAAGAAAGUCUGCGUCCUUGCUGUCUAAAAAAGGAAAUUCAGUGUCAGUGUUCAUGAGCAGAACUGCUGGUGCAGAAGAACAAAGCUAUCUCAGUUGUUUAGGGUAGCAGGAGUGAUGAGCAAGCAAGCACACUCCCAUGCUUUCAGGAGGAAAUGCUGCAAAGAAAGGAGGGAGAAGAAGAGUGACUUUUUCCUUUAGAAAAUACUCACUGCUGCUUCAAGGUAGCUGCUUUUUGAUACUACUUUGGCAUUAAUGUUAUUACCCUGAGUAAAGACAGCCAUGAAAAAACUCAGUAGGGAGAGAAACAACAAGAAAAAGUGUUGGUAAAAAAAUCAGCAUAAUCUUGAGCUGAUGAAUGCAGUUUGUAUGUAUUAAAAUGUCUCAGUUGUUACAUUCAUCUGUGCAGUGCUGUGAAACCUUUCAAAACGCAAGUGAAAUUAUGUUUUUUGUGGUAAGAUUGUUGUGAUAUGUUGAUGUGUUAUCAACCUUUUAUCAAUGAUCUUUUGUCUUCUGUUAUCAAAGUAGAUGUCUUUUGAGUGGAAAUGUAUAGCAAAUAAAUAAAAAUUUAUAUUAAAUACUCAAGCAUACUAACUAGAGAACCAACAUCAGACAAGCUUUCUGUAGGAUCUCUAAUGGGGUUAGCUUUUCAGUUUAAGACUUCAAUAUAAUUGCAGAAUUGUCUGCAAAGCACUCAUGCAAAAGCUGCUGCUGCUGUUUAUACAUCUAUCACGUUACAUAUUUUUGUUCUCCUUCACCUGCUUCUUCUCCCAGUCAUUAGGUUGUUUCUGAGGCAGCUGAACCCAUAUGCCCUGCACAGCAAACCCAGCACGCCUGCCAUGUUUGCAUGGUGGGGCCUUGAGGAGAAUAAAACAAACUGUGGAGGCAGUGAUAACGCUGUCUUAGCUAUGUUGAUACUCCUGUGUUGAUAUUGCUUAACCAUCUGUUUGCUGUGUUAUUGAAUGUGCUUGGAUAGAUCAGCCCUUUCUCACAAUUCCUUGUUUUGCACUUUAUCACCAUUUACCAAAUAGUGUUUGACUGUUCUCCUGGAGUCUGUUUGUAGUUUGGGUCAGAGUGAAUUUUUUUCUAUAGCAGUCUGGUAGUAAGACUGAGUAAUUCAGGCUGUAAAUGUUAGGGCUUCAGAUUUUUAUUUUUAGUAUUAUCCUCUCUCAGUGUGAAAUUGUUAUUCUUUAAGUGUAUAGAGUUUAGCUCGUACAUUUCUCAGUCAUGAAUGGCACUGGGUGAGAUCUAUCAAUCAUGAAUACAUAAGUUUCCAUUUCCAAAGUUUGUCAUGUGGAGUUGGAUGUUCAAGUAUAUUUUUACUAGCCAGACUCAUUUUUCUGGUUCAGACUAAUUUUGUCAAACUUGUAAGCUAUGGAAAGUUCUUCUGCGUUCUUUACAACCGUUUUUUUGAUUUACUUUGCUCCCCAGUGCACUGGGGGUUGACAACAUCCUGUUAAGGUUUGUGGGGGUCCUCUAAGCCACUGCAGGUGAAGUUCGAGUUUUAAUCCAUGACUGAGGUAUCCUCUGGCAGUACAAGUGAUAGUGAUUUAGUUCAGUGUCAGCAAGGGGUUUAGUCUCCUUCUCUGAACAAUUGAUAGUGCUUUGCUGAGUGAAUAACUAUGUUAGAACUGAUUUCCACAGAGCAUUAGGUGUUACAUUUCAGAGGAUAUCACUGGACUUCUGAGUCAAACCAGUUUGGGUUUUUCAGAGAUAUGAGGUGAUUAUUCAAGCAUGACUGUAACGUGUAAUAAACACCUCUUUGAAGAAUAAGUGCUAAACAAGAAAUGGAUGGAUCCUAUCCUAACAAAAAUUUAGUUGCCUAUAUAAAUAUUUAGUGGACGGUUAGUGUUGCAGUCUAAUAUCAAUGUAAUAGUUUUUCAUUUGCAAAGGGGUGGACAGAAGCACAAUGUUGCUAAAUGACAAGCUAUUCUCAUAAAUUUCCAAAUAGUGUGAAUAUUAAUUGCUUCCAGUUGAUGGAUUGAUGGUGGCUAGUAUGUAUUUACAGUGAAAAAGAGCAGAGCUACAGUAGUGCUGAUACAGAAAUAUCUUGAGUGGAGUGCACUCACAUUAUAACAUUUAUAUUGCUGCUGUUCCUAUGCCAAACUGUCAGUACAGAUCUAUCAGUUUGAGUCAAAGUUUCAGAGGCAUCUUGGUUGCCUUACGAUAGAAAAGCAACUUAAUGAAGUUGAACAAGACAGAGGAGUUGUUUGUAAAUCUACUAAUCUGUCCGCACGUUUGUACUGAAUUCUAAAGAAAGAGGUGAUCUUGUAGUUUAUGCUUGGUUUGUCUGCUUCUUCCACUUGGUUUAUAUUGUGGGAGCGAUCAAGAGAAAAAAGAAGUAUGGCAAACAUUGCCCAGAACACUCUAAUCUCUGUAUUUGGGCCAGGAAAAAAAGCUGUUAAGCCACUAGUGCUGCUGUGGUUAAUACCAGGACUUGCAUCAAUUUCCAAAACACAUAUAUGAAAUAUAAAAGCUACUUUGAUGGCUAAUGCUGCCCAUAAUUACCUUUUUGAGGUGUUCCACUGCUCAAUUUCCAUCUCAACCACUCCAAGUAAUAUCAGCUUUCCACACAAUAGGCUUUGGCUGAGUGCUCCAAGGCCUGAUUUUUGAAAUGCUGAGCACCCAUAAUGCUAUUUAAGGUUAAUGGGAGCACAAACUUCUCAGCAAAAUUUAAAAUCGGGCUUCUGCACACAAACCGGAGAUUUUAGUUUAGCAGUCACAAGACUGCUUAAAUGAUCAGUCUGAAUUCUGAAUUCCUUCUGAAACUUUUUUUUUUCUUUUACAGAGAAUGAGUUAUGUCCCAUUAUACCCCUUUGUUUUUAUUAAUUUUGUGAGCACUACUACUCUUUUAUUCAGUACACAGCUAGUAGAACAACUGGCACAUAAAAGGAAGAUAAUUGAGUUAUAGUAGACUUAGUUCUUUGUAAUGUUUUAUGGCAUUAUUCUUUUUUUUCUAUUGGAUUAAAUGGCAAGAAAUUAAUGUCUUUUGACAUGCUUAAGGGUUAGAAUAAGAAAUAAAACACUGUUCCUUUACAUGUGUCUGGUGGAUUUUUCAAGGCACUGAACUGUAGAGUUUUGGAUAUGUAGGUCAAAGUCUUUCUUUAAACAUGCCAUAGCUCCUGUUGAUACUCUGUUGAUAAGCAUAACUUGAAAUCAAUAAUCCUCAAUUCUUUUCUAGCCCAACUGUUUGAGUUUUCUUAUAGUAAUCUAAGUUUUAAAUACAUCUAAGGAUGUAUGUUAAAAAUACAUCCUUGUUCAUUCUCUGCCUUAGUUAGAUUUGUUUUGUUCCCUUGUUUUUCACUCAAACUGUAGUAUUUCUUUUGUUUCAAGCCAAGUGCUCCGUUGGAUCCUGUGAUAAGUGCAUCCAGUGUAAAGUGGAGAGACAUCCACCAAAAUCAUACAGGGCCUCUCAUAGAUUUUGUCUUUGUGUUUUCUAAAACAAAUAUACUCCUUUAGCAUGACUCUGGAUUCUGCAAGGAAUUCUGAUUUCCCAUGGCUCAGUUUGAGUAAAGUAUUUUAAUGCCUGAUCUUCAACCCACAGAUCAGCACUAUCAGUAGUCAUGGCAGAAGAGAAUCAAUCACUAUGAGGUUUCUAAUCCCUGUUACUCUGUAGUGGUAGGAGUUACUCCUUUGAAGGUUAUGCUUGGGUUUUCAGUGGGCAGCAAAUUGAAACCACUUCAAGGAGCUGAAGUAUUACGAGUAUUCAUUGUAGUGAGAUGCUUUACCCAAUUAGAAAAACCUCCACUCUUUCCUCCUUAGCGCACCCUUUCUCUUAUUUUGGAAUGCAGUGGAAACAUUGUGUUAUUAAUUACAUUCUCCCAAAUGAACUUGCAAAUAAAGCUUAAUUAAAACUGUGGGAGCUGCAUUACACUAAUGUGGUCUUGUAAACACAGCAGAAUUAGGAGUUGUGGGUGAGUAGCUAGUUACAGAAUUGAAAAUAGCUAUCCCCAUUAUUUUUAAUGAAUAUUUGAGGAAUUUGUACAUUGGAUUUGAUACAGGUCUGUCUACAUGACAAUGGCCAUGUAGUAGUGUCAUUUCUAAUUCUGUAGCCACUUAGACUCAUUUAUCCUCAGAGCUGUUAUUCCUAAAUUGGGAGCAAUUACCUUGCUGGCUGAGAGACCUGAGAAAACAAGGAAAGAAAUGGGUCCUUACAUGCCAUCAAAUAGCAGUGUUCAUCAUUAAUGCUCCACAUAUUCUGAUGUCAGGUGUUUACACAGGUCUCUCCCAUGGCUUAUGCUGUGUGAACAGCACUAGAGGAUGAUUGGAACUGCUGAGUGUGAUGAAAAG